rnacentral:rRNA from 1 species
AACGAACGCUGGCGGCGCGCCUAAUACAUGCAAGUCGAGCGAGAAGGUGUAGCAAUACACUUGUAAAGCGGCGAACGGGUGAGGAAUACAUGGGUAAUCUACCAUCGAGUGGGGAAUAACCAACCGAAAGGUUGGCUAAUACCGCGUACGCCUCCGAGUCUUCGGGUUCGGAGGGAAAGCUGCACUGUGAGUGUAGCGCUCUUUGAUGAGCUCAUGUCCUAUCAGCUUGUUGGUAGGGUAACGGCCUACCAAGGCUUUGACGGGUAGCUGGUCUGAGAGGACGAUCAGCCACACUGGCACUGCGACACGGGCCAGACUCCUACGGGAGGCAGCAGUAAGGAAUAUUGCGCAAUGGGCGAAAGCCUGACGCAGCGACGCCGCGUGGGGGAUGAAGGUCUUCGGAUUGUAAACCCCUUUCGGGAGGGAAGAUGGAGCGAGCAAUCGUUCGGACGGUACCUCCAGAAGCAGCCACGGCCAACUUCGUGC